rnacentral:rRNA from 1 species
AUUGAACGCUGGCGGCAGGCCUAACACAUGCAAGUCGAGCGAGCGGCGGACGGGUGAGUAAUGUAUGGGGAUCUGCCCGAUGGAGGGGGAUAACUACUGGAAACGGUAGCUAAUACCGCAUACUAUCGGAUGACCCCAUAUGGGAUUAGCUAGUAGGUGGGGUAAUGGCGCACCUAGGCGACGAUCCCUAGCUGGUCUGAGAGGAUGACCAGCCACAUGGGAACUGAGACACGGUCCAGACUCCUACGUGAGGCAGCAGUGGGGAAUAUUGCACAAUGGGCGCAAGCCGGAUGCAGCCAUGCCGCGUGUAUGAAGAAGGCCGUAGGGUUGUAAAGUACUUUCAGCGGGGAGGCGUUACCCGCAGAAGAAGCACCGGCUAACUCCGUGCCAGCAGCCGCGGUAAUAC